UUGAGCCUUGAUUCCGGCUCAGGAUGAACGCUGGCGGCGUGCCUAAUACAUGCAAGUCGAGCGAAUGGAUUAAGAGCUUGCUCUUAUGAAGUUAGCGGCGGACGGGUGAGUAACACGUGGGUAACCUACCCAUAAGACUGGGAUAACUCCGGGAAACCGGGGCUAAUACCGGAUAAUAUUUUGAACUGCAUAGUUCGAAAUUGAAAGGCGGCUUCGGCUGUCACUUAUGGAUGGACCCGCGUCGCAUUAGCUAGUUGGUGAGGUAACGGCUCACCAAGGCGACGAUGCGUAGCCGACCUGAGAGGGUGAUCGGCCACACUGGGACUGAGACACGGCCCAGACUCCUACGGGAGGCAGCAGUAGGGAAUCUUCCGCAAUGGACGAAAGUCUGACGGAGCAACGCCGCGUGAGUGAUGAAGGCUUUCGGGUCGUAAAACUCUGUUGUUAGGGAAGAACAAGUGCUAGUUGAAUAAGCUGGCACCUUGACGGUACCUAACCAGAAAG
rnacentral:rRNA from 1 species